UAAAAUAAUCUUUUAUAGUAUUUAUAAACAAGAUGUGAGUGAAUUUCUUUAAUUUCCGGAGUCAUUGUCCGAAUAUGAUCUUAUAUUAAUUAACAAACAGAGUUAUCUAUCGUUGUAAGUUGAUACGGACGCCUUCGGACCCGCCAAAGACGAACAACAUUUAAAACAAUGGAUCCCAUCUAUCAAGCAUACAAAUCUAUUGACGAUGCAACAGAUACAGAACUUCAUAUUAGAAUAUUGACGGAAUCAAAAGCCAUCUUAACAGUUAUUACUGCAGCGGAAGGACUAUGACACUGAAGUGGGAAUGAAAUUUUAAGAGCUAGAAUACAUCCAUACAUAGAUCCAAUUGAAGAACAGAUCAGGAAGAGAGAAAAGGAUGACUUAAUUUCAAGAACAGAUGAUACAAAAGUUCACCUGACAACCAAAAGGGAAAUGCACCAAGAGCCUUUAUCAUUCAAAAGAGGAUUGUUCCGCAAUGAAAGAUUCCUGUAUGUUAGGAGAUGGACUAACAAAUUCUGUUUUGUUGAGGAUAAAAAUCAUCAAAUUUUAUAAUUGUAUUUUUUGUUUUAGUGAGACUUAAAAAUAAAUUAUUUAACUAAAUUGAA